CACGUAGGCACCAAGCGUUGUCCGGAUUUAUUGGGCGUAAAGAGCUCGUAGGCGGUUCGGUAAGUCGGGUGUGAAAACUUUGGGCUUAACCCAAAGCGUGCAUCCGAUACUGCUGUGACUUGAGUUCGGUAGGGGAGUGGGGAAUUCCUAGUGUAGCGGUGAAAUGCGCAGAUAUUAGGAGGAACACCGGUGGCGAAGGCGCCACUCUGGGCCGAAACUGACGCUGAGGAGCGAAAGCAUGGGUA
rnacentral:rRNA from 1 species